ensembl:lncRNA
UUUCGAAGAAACAAACGUUUAUUACAAAAACAAGGGGGCAGGCAAACAACACGUCAAGUGCAAACAGAGGUCAGUAAUCCAGAGAAGAGUCCGAAAGGUACAGAACAGCAGGCAGGGUCAGGGUCAGGGCAGGCAUGCUCAGGGUCAGGGCAGGCAGGCAGGCUCAGGCUCAGGGUCAGGGCAGGCAGGCUCAGGGUCAGGUCAGGCAGGCUCAGGGUCAGGGCAGGCAGGCUCAGGGUCAGAGUCAGGGCAGGCAAGCUCAGGGUCAGGGUCAGGCAGGCUCAGGGUCAGGUCAGGCAGGCUCAGGGUCAGGGCAGGCAGGCUCAGGGUCAGGGUCAGGGUCAGGGUCAGGGUCAGGGUCAGGGCAGGCAGGCUCAGGGUCAGGUCAGGCAGGCAGGCUUAGGGCAGGCAGAAUGGUCAAAACCGGGAAAACUAGAAAACAGAAACUAGAGAAUG